ACAAUCUGAGUCUUCACAGGAAGAAUGGACAAGCUCCUGGGAGCAUUACUGUUGAUUCUGUGGCUUCAGUCAGACUGGGCCAAUAGUCAACCAAAGGAGAAGGAUGACCAGCAGGUUAAGCAAAAUCCUCCAUCCCUGAAGACCCAGGAAGGAGAAAUUUCCAUUUUGAACUGUGAUUACAAUAAUGAUCUGUUUGCUUACUUCGUAUGGUACAAAAAAAUCCCCUGCUAAAGGCCCUGCCCUCCUGAUAUCUAUACGUUCAGGUGCAGAUAGAAAUGAAGAAGGAAGAUUCACAGUCUUCCUCAAUAAAAAUGCUAAACACGUCUUUCUGCAUAUUGCCGCCUCCCAGCCUGGAGACUCAGCCACCUACUUCUGCGCAGCAAGUGCACAGUGCUCUACAGGUACCUGCAGCCUGUACCCAAACCUGCAGGUGGGGUCCAAGCCAACUUUUGUUUUGCGGUCUCAGAGUGGGAGGCCCACAGACUUGCUUCCAUUUACACACAACAGCAUGCAAGGGUGUGCUUUAAAGUAGGUGAGACAAGUUGAGCUUAAAGCAAGACUGACACUUGGCAAUUUUAUAUAUGAGUAAGGAAAGUUCCCUAAGCUUUAGGGUGCCGAAGGGUCUAACCUCUCCUUUUUACUUUCAGCAAGAGGUUGUUGGCUUAGCUAAAGCAUAAUCUUGAGUGAUUCUUUUC